UCAACCACUUGGUGUUGCACUGAAGUGGACUUAAAGGAAGGUCAAUGAUUGGAGAUCCUUUUAGAACCCGGUUACUAUUCUAGGACAGGUUGAACCAACUAAACUUCAGUGGGGAGGGUACUUACCUAUGGAACUCAUGCAAGCCUUAAAACCUAGGAAUGAUGGUUGUGUGACUUGCUUGUGCUUGUUAUUUAUUUAACCUCAUAACAUCAUAACAUCAUAACAUCAUAACAUCAUAACAUUGUACUAACCAUUUCAAGGACUUAGGGAUUUAAC
rnacentral:lncRNA from 1 species